AUUGAACGCUGGCGGCAGGCCUAACACAUGCAAGUCGAGCGAGCGGCGGACGGGUGAGUAAUGUCUGGGGAACUGCCCGAUGGAGGGGGAUAACUACUGGAAACGGUAGCUAAUACCGCAUACCAUCAGAUGUGCCCAGAUGGGAUUGGCUAGUAGGUGGGGUAAUGGCUCACCUAGGCGACGAUCCCUAGCUGGGCUGAGAGGAUGACCCGCCACACUGGGACUGAGACACGGCCCAGACUCCUACGGGAGGCAGCAGUGGGGAAUAUUGCACAAUGGGCGCAAGCCUGAUGCAGCCAUGCCGCGUGUAUGAAGAAGGCCCUAGGGUUGUAAAGUACUUUCAGCCGGGAGGCGUUACCGGCAGAAGAAGCACCGGCUAACUCCGUGCCAGCAGCCGCGGUAAUAG
rnacentral:rRNA from 1 species